GUUGGCAGCCAUAACACAGGCUUUACACCACCAAUGAGUCUCUUUUGUAAGGUGGCUGGGAUCAACCUGAGAGGUGAACUACGAACAAAGCAGCUGAUAAACAAAAGCCAACAACAGAGCAGCAGAAUCGAGGGAAAACCUCGUCUGACAGUGGUGGAGGAGUCUAGUGAUCAAUAGGCUAACCUCGAGGACCUAAAAUAAUCAGCAGAGCAUCAACAAAAAGAAACAUCUGAACCACAGAUGGCUGAUCAUCAGUGGUGGUUACAAAUAUCAGGCAGUGAGAACUGUUGACAUCAGUUAUCAGAAGGUCAGUUUUAAAGGGGAACUAGAUCAGAGAUCAGGGCGAGUUUACUGGCAGGACUUUGGAUCUGAGCACUGCUGUCAGUCCCUUCACCAAGCAC